GGGAAUUUUUGGGGCAAUGGGGGAAAGCCUGACCCAGCAACGCCGCGUGAAAGGAUGAAAUCCCUCGGGAUGUAAACUUCGCAAGAACGGGAAGAAUAAGUAAGAGCUAACAUCUCUUACGAUGACGGUACUGUUUGUAAGCUCCGGCUAACUCCGUGCCAGCAGCCGCGGUAAUACGGGGGGAGCAAGCGUUGUUCGGAUUUACUGGGCGUAAAGGGCGCGUAGGCGGCCACCGCAAGUCAGUUGUGAAAUCUCUGGGCUUAACCCAGAAAGGUCAACUGAUACUGCGGGGCUAGAGUGCAGAAGGGGCAACUGGAAUUCUCGGUGUAGCGGUGAAAUGCGUAGAUAUCGAGAGGAACACCUGCGGCGAAGGCGGGUUGCUGGGCUGACACUGACGCUGAGGCGCGAAAGCUAGGGGAGCAACACAGGAUUAGAUACCCUGGUAGUCCUAGCCCUAAACGGUGCUUGCUUGCUGUAAGUGGAAUCGACCCCACUUGUGGCGGAGCUAACGCGUUAAGCAAGCCGCCUGGGAAGUACGGUCGCAAGAUUAAAACUCAAAGGAAUUG
rnacentral:rRNA from 1 species